rnacentral:rRNA from 1 species
UCGACGGAGAGUUUGAUCCUGGCUCAGGACGAACGCUGGCGGCGUGCUUAACACAUGCAAGUCGAACGAG